rnacentral:rRNA from 1 species
AGAGUUUGAUCCUGGCUCAGGACGAACGCUGGCGGCGUGCCUAACACAUGCAAGUCGAGCGAUGAAAUCCUUCGGGAUGGAUUAGCGGCGGACGGGUGAGUAACACGUGGGUAACCUGCCUCAAAGAGGGGAAUAGCCUUCCGAAAGGAAGAUUAAUACCGCAUAAUAUGUUUUGGUCGCAUGACUAGAACAUCAAAGGAGCAAUCCGCUUUGAGAUGGACCCGCGGCGCAUUAGCUAGUUGGUGAGGUAACGGCUCACCAAGGCGACGAUGCGUAGCCGACCUGAGAGGGUGAUCGGCCACAUUGGAACUGAGACACGGUCCAGACUCCUACGGGAGGCAGCAGUGGGGAAUAUUGCGCAAUGGGGGAAACCCUGACGCAGCAACGCCGCGUGAAUGAUGAAGGCCUUCGGGUUGUAAAGUUCUGUCUUCUGGGACGAUAAUGACGUACCA